rnacentral:rRNA from 1 species
GUCGAACGCUGGCGGCGUGCUUAACACAUGCAAGUCGAACGGAAAGGCCCUGCUUUUGUGGGGUGCUCGAGUGGCGAACGGGUGAGUAACACGUGAGUAACCUGCCCUUGACUUUGGGAUAACUUCAGGAAACUGGGGCUAAUACCGGAUAGGAGCUCCUGCUGCAUGGUGGGGGUUGGAAAGUUUCGGCGGUUGGGGAUGGACUCGCGGCUUAUCAGCUUGUUGGUGGGGUAGUGGCUUACCAAGGCUUUGACGGGUAGCCGGCCUGAGAGGGUGACCGGCCACAUUGGGACUGAGGUACGGCCCAGACUCCUACGGGAGGCAGCAGUGGGGAAUAUUGCACAAUGGGCGGAAGCCUGAUGCAGCAACGCCGCGUGCGGGAUGACGGCCUUCGGGUUGUAAACCGCUUUCGCCUGUGACGAAGCGUGAGUGACGGUAAUGGGUAAAGAAGCACCGGCUAACUACGUG